rnacentral:rRNA from 1 species
GACGAACGCUGGCGGCGUGCUUAACACAUGCAAGUCGAACGGAAAGGCCCUGCUUUUGUGGGGUGCUCGAGUGGCGAACGGGUGAGUAACACGUGAGUAACCUGCCCUUGACUUUGGGAUAACUUCAGGAAACUGGGGCUAAUACCGGAUAUGAGCUCCUGCUGCAUGGUGGGGGUUGGAAAGUUUCGGCGGUUGGGGAUGGACUCGCGGCUUAUCAGCUUGUUGGUGUGGUAGUGGCUUACCAAGGCUUUGACGGGUAGCCGGCCUGAGAGGGUGACCGGCCACAAGGGGACUGAGAGACGGCGCAGACGGGUACGGGAGGCAGCGGGGGGGAAUAUGGCAGAGUGGGCGGAAGCCUGAUGCAGCAACGCCGGGUGCGGGAAGACGGGUUUUGGGUGGUAAACAGAUGUCGCCGGAGACGAAGCGUGAGUGACGGUAAUGGGUAAAGAAGCACCGGCUAACUACGUG